UACAGAGGGUGCAAGCGUUAAUCGGAAUUACUGGGCGUAAAGCGUGCGUAGACGGUUACAUAAGUCGGGUGUGAAAGCCCCGGGCUCAACCUGGGAAUUGCAUUCGAGACUGCGUAGCUAGGGUGCGGAAGAGGGAAGCGGAAUUUCCGGUGUAGCGGUGAAAUGCGUAGAUAUCGGAAGGAACACCAGUGGCGAAAGCGGCUUCCUGGUCCAGCACCGACGUCAGGCACGAAAGCGUGGGGGAGCAAACAGG
rnacentral:rRNA from 1 species